AAAAAUUUGGGGAUGAGCUGUGAAUAGGGGUGAAAGGCUAAACAAACUUGGAAAUAACUGGUUCUCUCCGAAAACUAUUUAGGUAGUGCCUCGUAUAUCAUUCUCGGGGUUAGAGCACUGUUAUGACUAGGGGGAUCAUAAGAUCUUACCAACUCAUUGCAAACUCCGAAUACUGAGAAAUGCAAUUACGGGAGACAGACCAUGGGUGCUAACGUCCGUGGUCAAGAGGGAAACAACCCAGACCGACAGCUAAGGUCCCAAAUGACGUGCUAAGUGGAAAACGAAGUGGGAAGGCAUAGACAGCCAGGAUGUUGGCUUAGAAGCAGCCAUCAUUUAAAGAAAGCGUAAUAGCUCACUGGUCGAGUCGUCCUGCGCGGAAGAUGUAACGGGGCUAAGCACGUAACCGAAGCUUCGGAUGCUGCACUAUUUAUAGUGUAUGCAUGGUAGGAGAGCGUUCUGUAGGCCUGCGAAGGUGUUCUGUGAGGAAUGCUGGAGGUAUCAGAAGUGCGAAUGCUGACAUGAGUAGCGAUAAAGGGAGUGAAAAGCUCCCUCGCCGAAAACCCAAGGUUUCCUGCGCAACGUUCAUCGGCGCAGGGUGAGUCGGCCCCUAAGGUGAGGCAGAGAUGCGUAGCUGAUGGGAAACAGGUUAAUAUUCCUGUACCUUUAUAUAAUGCGAUGUGGGGACGGAGAAGGUUAGGUCAGCCGGGUGUUGGAUGUCCCGGUUCAAGCGUGUAGGCAGAUUCUUUAGGCAAAUCCGGAGAGUCAAUGCUGAGGCGUGAUAACGAGUCUACUUGUAGACGAAGUGAUUGAUACCAUGCUUCCAAGAAAAGCCACUAAGCUUCAGUUAUAUAAGACCGUACCGCAAACCGACACAGGUGGGUAGGAUGAGAAUUCUAAGGCGCUUGAGAGAACCCGGGAGAAGGAACUCGGCAAAUUAGCACCGUAACUUCGGGAGAAGGUGCGCCCCGGUAAGUGUAGAGAUUUACUCUCGAAGCUCGAUGGGGUUGCAGUGAAAAGGUGGCUGCGACUGUUUAAUAAAAACACAGCACUCUGCAAACACGAAAGUGGACGUAUAGGGUGUGACGCCUGCCCGGUGCUGGAAGAUUAAUUGAUGGGGUGCAAGCUCUUGAUCGAAGUCCCAGUAAACGGCGGCCGUAACUAUAACGGUCCUAAGGUAGCGAAAUUCCUUGUCGGGUAAGUUCCGACCCGCACGAAUGGCGUAACGAUGGCCACACUGUCUCCUCUCGGGACUCAGCGAAGUUGAAAUGUUUGUGAAGAUGCAAUCUACCCGCGGCUAGACGGAAAGACCCCAUGAACCUUUACUGUAGCUUUACAUUGGACUUUGACAAGAUUUGUGUAGGAUAGGUGGGAGACGUUGAAGCGGAGUCGCUAGAUUUCGUGGAGUCAACCUUGAAAUACCACCCUGAUGUUGUUGAGGUUCUAACCUAGGUCCAUAAUCUGGACUGGGGACCGUGUAUGGUGGGCAGUUUGACUGGGGCGGUCUCCUCCCAAAGAGUAACGGAGGAGUGCGAAGGUAACCUAGGUACGGUCGGAAAUCGUACUGAUAGUGCAAUGGCAUAAGGUUGCUUGACUGCGAGACGGACAGGUCGAGCAGGUGCGAAAGCAGGUCAUAGUGAUCCGGUGGUUCUGUAUGGAAGGGCCAUCGCUCAACGGAUAAAAGGUACUCUGGGGAUAACAGGCUGAUUCCUCCCAAGAGUUCAUAUCGACGGGGGAGUUUGGCACCUCGAUGUCGGCUCAUCACAUCCUGGGGCUGUAGCCGGUCCCAAGGGUAUGGCUGUUCGCCAUUUAAAGUGGUACGUGAGCUGGGUUUAAAACGUCGUGAGACAGUUUGGUCCCUAUCUGCCGUGGGCGUUGGAAAUUUGAAGGGACCUGCUCCUAGUACGAGAGGACCGGAGUGGACGUAUCUCUGGUGGACCGGUUAUCACGCCAGUGGUAUAGCCGGGUAGCUAAAUACGGAAGAGAUAAACGCUGAAAGCAUCUAAGCGUGAAACUCGCCUUGAGAUGAGAUUCCCUGGGGGUUAACCCCCCUAAAGAGUCGUUCGAGACCAGGACGUUGAUAGGACGGAUGUGGAAGCGCAGUAAUGCGUUAAGCUGACCGUUACUAAUUGCUCGUGAGGCUUGAUCCU
rnacentral:rRNA from 1 species